rnacentral:lncRNA from 1 species
CAUUGCCGACAUCACCUACUGUCACCAACUUCACGUCACUGUCGUAAUCCCGUUGCCGACCUCAUGUCGCUGUCGAUGAAACUGAAACCAAAACCCCCUAUCUUCGUUUCUUUUCCUUUUCCCUCUUCCCCACGCCAUCUGCCGCUGUUCUCUACCGCCAAGCUAAUGCCGAACAGAGACCUUACCACCAUCGUUGUCAAAUGGAGCCCUCACCCGCGCGCCGCCGCUCAUCCCCUCCCCAAACCCUUUUUUUC